rnacentral:rRNA from 1 species
GACGAACGCUGGCGGCGUGCUUAACACAUGCAAGUCGAACGGAAAGGCCCUGCUUUUGUGGGGUGCUCGAGUGGCGAACGGGCGAGUAACACGUGAGUAACCUGCCCUUGACUUUGGGAUAACUUCAGGAAACUGGGGCUAAUACCGGAUAGGAGCUCCUGCUGCAUGGUGGGGGUUGGAAAGUUUCGGCGGUUGGGGAUGGACUCGCGGCUUAUCAGCUUGUUGGUGGGGUAGUGGCUUACCAAGGCUUUGACGGGUAGCCGGCCUGAGAGGGUGACCGGCCACAUUGGGACUGAGAUACGGCCCAGACUCCUACGGGAGGCAGCAGUGGGGAAUAUUGCACAAUGGGCGGAAGCCUGAUGCAGCAACGCCGCGUGCGGGAUGACGACCUUCGGGUUGUAAACCGCUUUCGCCUGUGACGAAGCGUGAGUGACGGUAAUGGGUAAAGAAGCACCGGCUAACUACGUG